rnacentral:rRNA from 1 species
GAUGAACGCUAGCGGCAGGCUUAACACAUGCAAGUCGAGGGGUAUUGGUUUUCGGACCAAGAGACCGGCGCACGGGUGCGUAACGCGUAUGCAAUCUACCUUUUGCAGAGGGAUAGCCCCAGAGAAAUUUGGAUUAAUACCUCAUAGUAUAGUACUUUGGCAUCAAGGAACUAUUAAAGUCACAACGGCAAAAGAUGAGCAUGCGUCCCAUUAGCUAGUUGGUAAGGUAACGGCUUACCAAGGCUACGAUGGGUAGGGGUUCUGAGAGGGAGAUCCCCCACACUGGUACUGAGACACGGACCAGACUCCUACGGGAGGCAGCAGUGAGGAAUAUGGACAAUGGGCGCAAGCCUGAUCCAGCCAUGCCGCGUGCAGGAUGACGGUCCUAUGGAUUGUAAACUGCUUUUG